rnacentral:rRNA from 1 species
UGUAUAAUGGGUCAGCGACUUAUAUUCUGUAGCAAGGUUAACCGAAUAGGGGAGCCGAAGGGAAACCGAGUCUUAACUGGGCGUUAAGUUGCAGGGUAUAGACCCGAAACCCGGUGAUCUAGCCAUGGGCAGGUUGAAGGUUGGGUAACACUAACUGGAGGACCGAACCGACUAAUGUUGAAAAAUUAGCGGAUGACUUGUGGCUGGGGGUGAAAGGCCAAUCAAACCGGGAGAUAGCUGGUUCUCCCCGAAAGCUAUUUAGGUAGCGCCUCGUGAAUUCAUCUCCGGGGGUAGAGCACUGUUUCGGCAAGGGGGUCAUCCCGACUUACCAACCCGAUGCAAACUGCGAAUACCGGAGAAUGUUAUCACGGGAGACACACGGCGGGUGCUAACGUCCGUCGUGAAGAGGGAAACAACCCAGACCGCCAGCUAAGGUCCCAAAGUCAUGGUUAAGUGGGAAACGAUGUGGGAAGGCCCAGACAGCCAGGAUGUUGGCUUAGAAGCAGCCAUCAUUUAAAGAAAGCGUAAUAGCUCACUGGUCGAGUCGGCCUGCGCGGAAGAUGUAACGGGGCUAAACCAUGCACCGAAGCU